UACUAGCCGUUGGGACUCUUGAAGUCUUAGUGGCGCAGCUAACGCACUAAGUAGACCGCCUGGGGAGUACGGCCGCAAGGUUAAAACUCAAAUGAAUUGACGGGGGCCCGCACAAGCGGUGGAGCAUGUGGUUUAAUUCGACGCAACGCGAAGAACCUUACCUGGCCUUGACAUGCAGAGAACUUUCCAGAGAUGGAUUGGUGCCUUCGGGAACUCUGACACAGGUGCUGCAUGGCCGUCGUCAGCUCGUGUCGUGAGAUGUUGGGUUAAGUCCCGUAACGAGCGCAACCCCUAUCCCUAGUUGCUAGCAGUUCGGCUGAGAACUCUAGGGAGACUGCCGGUGACAAACCGGAGGAAGGUGGGGAUGACGUCAGGUCAUCAUGGCCCUUACGGCCAGGGCUACACACGUGCUACAAUGGUGCGUACAGAGGGCUGCAAACCCGCGAGGGGGAGCUAAUCUCACAAAACGCAUCGUAGUCCGGAUCGGAGUCUGCAACUCGACUCCGUGAAGUCGGAAUCGCUAGUAAUCGCGAAUCAGAAUGUCGCGGUGAAUACGUUCCCGGGCCUUGUACACACCGCCCGUCACACCAUGGGAGUGGAUUGCACCAGAAGUGGUUAGUCUAACUUCGGGAGGA
rnacentral:rRNA from 1 species